GGAGAUGUGGCUCAGUGGUGGAGCACUUGUCUACCAUGAAUGAGGCCCUGGGUUCAAUCCCCAGGACCACCA
rnacentral:tRNA from 1 species